UUGAAGUCAGGCCACUUGUGCCACGGCUUGAGUAAACCGUGCUGCCUGUAGCUCCGCCAACAACGGGAGGCGUAANAAUUCCCAGGGAGGCCAUGCGCCACGGAAGCUGUACGCGUGGCAUAUUGGACUAGCGGUUAGAGGAGACCCCUCCCACCACUGACAAAACGCAGCAAAAGGGGGCCCGAAGCCAGGAAGAAGCUGUGCUCCUGGUGGAAGGACUAGAGGUUAGAGGAGACCCCCCCAACACAAAAACAGCA
rnacentral:lncRNA from 1 species